rnacentral:lncRNA from 1 species
CCAUGAUCUUUCACCUACAGAGAUUGAAGAAACAACAAUAGUUAAUCUAUUUCAGCCAUUCCAGCUCAGUGAUACCUCAACAAUCAAGAAGCAAGAGGGAGCAUUUGUUCACUCUCCGGCAGAAACUUUCAAGUUAUUACAGAUUCCAGUUCACUUAAUUCAACAGCAACCAACCAAGCGAAACAUUCAACCAAGCAAAACACUCAAGGUAUUAUAGUAUGCCAUUCCUUCAAUGCACCCACAUCCAUACCAACAGCAUAUCAGUUUCAAAUGAUAGAUGACCAUAAGCUUGAUAAACUUAGCAAAGUUACAUACUCUAUAAAAAUUAGCAUCAGAUAAUUUCCUGUUGUAUUCAUGUCUAUAGAACUCAUAGCAACCCACAUAUGCGAAUGAUGAUUUAUGGCAUUUCACGGCAGUAGUAUGAUUCAUACAUUGAGAUAUUACCACUGCACAUAGAACCAAAGCCAUGAGAACCCCCACCCCCUUAACAACUAGAAGCUGAAGUAUAAGGGAGUAGAACUUAGCUUUUAGAAAAGAGGGGCGCUGCCCUGCUUAGUCAGGCCGAGAAACGACGUCUGGGCGGCGACUCGCGGGGACAGCAGCGUCGACGGCGUCGAGCGGUGAAGGGCAGGCGACUCCUGACCUCGGCGAUGGCCCUCGCCGAUUCUGGAGUAGCAGCAUUCAGCGACGUACCUUUUACCCGAAUCCAGCAGCAGCGUG